AACGAACGCUGGCGGCAUGCCUAACACAUGCAAGUCGAACGGCACCUUCGGGUUUGGUGGCGCACGGGUGCGUAACGCGUGGGAACCUGCACUUAGGCUUAGACUAACUCCCCGAAUGGGGUGCUAAUACCGGAUAAUGUCCUCGGACAAAAGAUUUAUCCAAUUUGGAUGGGCGUGCGUUGGAUUAGCUUGUUGGUAGGGUAAAAGCCUACCAAAGCGACGAUCCAUAGCUGGUCUGAGAGGAAGAUCAGCCACACUGGGACUGAGACACAGCCCAGACUCUUACGGGAGGCGGGAGUGGGGGAUCUAGGAAUGUGGGGUAGAGCCUGAUGCAGUAAUGGCGGGAGAGUGAUGAAGGCGGGAGAGUUGUAGAGCUCGUUUACACGGGGGGAUAAUGACGGUACCGGGAGAAUAAGCACCGGCUAACUCCGUG
rnacentral:rRNA from 1 species